ACUAAUGCUGGCUACUCCAUUCCAGUAACAAGCUCUUGGCCUAAAGUGGCGAAAGCUUGCCGUGAAUGGUGCGUUGGCCCAAUUGGUUUUCACGCGGCCUCCUUGAGUUGCCCAAUCAUCUGCAUUCCACAAGCUGGAUAUUAAUUCUCACUUACACAACAGCAUUAGGAUUCCAGUGAAUUGUGUAGUUGUGGAAAUCGGUCGUGGGGUCAAACCACACUCGAAACUGUUGUUCUCUGUUUCCAACUCCCUGAGUGAAUAUGUUUGUAUGAAUGGUGUAAGGCUGUCCUGAAACAUUCCCCAAGAACUCAUAGUCUAUCUCAUCAUGAGCUGAACCUGUAGAAGAUAGCUGCAAAAGUUCCAAGAAUCCCCUGGAACGAGCUUGAUGAGAGCUUCAAAGCUUCCAAAUAAGAAAUCUCUCUUCGACUUCGCUCCCGAGCCUGCAACAACAGAAUCAUUCUUGCUGGUAAAAACUAACUACUUGAUGAACUUGUUUAUUGCAUACAGGAAAGCAAGAAAUGAUAUUAUUUCACCUGUGCUUUGGUCCAAAACCAGCUGAAGGCUAUCCCCUUCUAUUUUGGACCGACUAUUUCCCCAGGUUAUGGCCAUGUUCUUUGAAAUAUUGGCAUCAACUACAAUGUGAUUAGACACAAUCACACACACCAACAAUGCUAUAGAAAAAGACUGAAACUUCGCCAUUUCAGUCCCAAUAUCAGGAAAGCUUCUUUUCUGGGAUUGAAAUGGGACGAUUUGAAACUUCAAGCUAAUGCUUGCUUUAUAUAGCUUGCCUUUCUUUGUUCAUUGCAAGACAUUGGGUUUUCUAAUCAUUAAUUCGCAGAAGUCAGAGCUACAAAUAUAUAUAUAUAUGAAUUACAGCUUUGCAAACUUGAGGAUUGAAAGUUGGAAAGGUCCCCUGCGUUGACAUCAUAGAAUUUGAAAGCGUGUGGAUCCAUCGACUUGAUAAUGGCAUGAAGCAUAAUGCUGAAGAAGGUAUGAACUACGAAUAGAUUCUCAACACAUCGUUCCACGAAAAUUUUAGUUUAUGUAUGUUUAUUAUCGAUCAUGUUGAACUCUUCAAUGUUUCAUAUCAACGAAUAUCUUGGCUA